AAAAAAUAUUAAAAUUGCUAAUCAUAAAGAAUGUAAAGACAUAUUUGGUUAUCCGAGCUUUCUGAUGCCGCCUUUCGGACAUCGAAACAAAUCAUCAUCUUCUUCUUCAUCAUCAUC
rnacentral:ribozyme from 1 species